rnacentral:rRNA from 1 species
UGGUGCCAGCAGCCGCGGUAAUUCCAGCUCCAAUAGCGUAUAUUAAGGUUGUUGCAGUUAAAAAGCUCGUAGUUGAAUUUCGGGAUGAUCAGGUUGGUCGUGCCAUUGGUAUGUACUAGCUUUGGUGGUUCCUACCUCUUGAAGAACCGUAAUGUCAUUAACUUGGUGUUGCGGGGAAUCAGGACUGUUACUUUGAAAAAAUUAGAGUGUUUAAAGCAGGCAAACGCUUGAAUACAUUAGCAUGGAAUAAUGAAAUAGGACGUUUGAUCUUAUUUUGUUGGUUUCUAGGAUCGACGUAAUGAUUAAUAGGGAUAGUUGGGGGCAUUAGUAUUCAAUUGUCAGAGGUGAAAUUCUUGGAUUUAUUGAAGACUAACUACUGCGAAAGCAUUUGCCAAGGAUGUUUUCAUUAAUCAAGAACGAAAGUUAGGGGAUCGAAGACGAUCAGAUACCGUCGUAGUCUUAACCAUAAACUAUGCCGACUAGGGA